rnacentral:other from 15 species
AUAGGACGCUCUAAUGCGGACAUGGUGCGAAGAGUCUAUUGAGCUAGUUAGUGGUCCUCCGGCCCCUGAAUGCGGCUAAUCCUAACUGCGGAGCACAUGCCUUCAAUCCAGAGGGUAGUGUGUCGUAAUGGGCAACUCUGCAGCGGAACCGACUACUUUGGGUGGCCGGGUUUCCUUUUAUUCCUUAUAUUGGCUGCUUAUGGGGACAAUUACAGAAUUGUUACCAUAUAGCUAUUGGAUCGCCCAUCCGGUG